rnacentral:misc_RNA from 1 species
GGAAGUAAAAGUCAUAACAAGGUCUCCGUUGGUGAACCAGCGGAGGGAUCAUUACAGAGUUUUCACAACUCCCAACCCUUGCGAACCGUACCCAUUCUGUUCUCGUUGCUUCCGGCGGGCCCUACGAACCUUUAUAUCUCAAUCACCAGAAACCGUCUGAGAAAACAAACAAAAUAAUCAAAACUUUCAACAACGGAUCUCUUGGCUCUG